UUGUUCCUGACUCCUGACCCAUAAGUUGCUAGGGGGGCCACUAGUGUUUCCAAAUACUGCCUUAUCACACGACACUGUGAAACACAGAGAGCAGACAAGCUAUGGGGUACUUGUCCAAUAGACUAAAGAUUUUGCACCUGAAAUUUGGAUCACUUUUAUUGCUCACAAAGUUGAGGGAUCUGGAACUUUUCCCCCUCUGCGUGUGGAUGGGAUGGAAUGGAUCUGCCCAGGGUCUGGGAAAAUGUGACCACAUCAAGUCCCAAGCCAGGCAAGAGGACAGAUCUCCAAUCCAAAUCUGCACUGUAGCUGCUACUUCUACAACCCAAAGUAUAAGUUUACAAGAUCUCAUCCUGGAGGUUCUUCUGCAGUUUGAUGCUGCCAGGAUGAAGACAUCUGCAGACAGAAGCAUUUGGAAUACCUGUAUGUUCUUCUACUAAUACCCUCAUCUGCCUCUUCUUCAUGGUCAGGACAAACGCCUUCGG